AAAGUUCAUCAAGCUUUCCAUGACCUCCAGAUUUACCAACACGAGAAGCACGGUCUGCGGGUGGAUGGCAUCCCCAUGUUCAUCCCCAACGACCGCAGCAAGAAGAGGCUGAUCGAGGACACUCAGGAUUGGCAGCCCCGCACAGGCACUACCCAGUCCCACUCCUUCCACAUGCUGGCCCAGCUCACAGGCACCGACUACAUGCAGGACCCAGACGAUGAGACAAUGAAGAGGGCCAGGUAAA